GAGCGCAGCGCAGAUGUGGCGAGUAACCGGUUCGAAUCCCGCCCUGAGCCGCAGCCUCUGUAGCUGCCGCCACGUGGGAGCAACCGCGAGUUUUCAAUGCUCCGCGUGGGAGCUGCUUGAAACGUCACCCAAGUUGUUUAGCACAGAGGAGGGCGGCCUUCUGGAGCCUCUUGGCCGUAAGGGAUUAAAAACCCGGUCUCUUGCUGUCGAGAAAGCCGCUGUUGUAAUGGCGCUGAGAUGCAGGAAGGGGAUGAUUCAGGACUUUCUGAAGAGGAAACAAUUAUGUCAAGAAAAAGAAAAAUUGACCAAGUGCAGGAUAUUCUAAGAACAGUGGACUUACGAUUACUUUCAUGCAGUACAAGGAAAGAGCUGUAUGUCUGAUAUGCCAGGAUUUGGUGGCUGUGUUCAAGGAAUACAAUUUGCGUCAACACUACGAAACUCGACAAAGACAAAUAUGAUUGAGAAAAGGCAAAAUAUUAAAACUGAAAAAUGGAUUGACAACUCAGCAAAAUGCUUUUGUGAAGCAGAGGCAGCUAAAUAUUUCAUCACUGCGAGCAAGUUUUCAAGUUGCCAAGCUAAUAGCGCACACUGGCAGACCAUUUGUAGAUGGAGAAUUUGUUAAAGAAUGCCUUCUUAUUGUUGCCGAAAAGAUGUGUCCAGAGAAGGCUGAUUUAUUUAGUACAGUGAGUCUUUCAGGACCUACAAUUACACAAAGGAUUGAAGAAGUGGGGGACAAUUUGCAUCAGUAUUGGAAAACUCCACAAAAAAACCUUUGCUAUUUUUCAUUGGCACUCAAUGAAAGCAAUGAUAUUCGUGAUUCUGCACAACUUCUGAUUUUCAUUCAUGGGACAAAUGAUUGUUUUGAAGUUACAGAGGCACUUGCUGCACUGAAAAGCAUCAAAUGAACAACAACAGGAGAGGAUAUCUAUGAAAAGUUUUGCCGAACUGAAUGAUUUGGAGCUGGACUGGGCUAAACUAGCCAGUGUGAAGGUAUUUUGUACAACACAGAAGUCCGUUGGCUGAGUCGAGGGAGAGUUUUGAAAUGUUUUUAUGACUUACUUCCAUAGGUUUCUGCUUUUCUGCUUUCAAAGAACAAAGAAGUACCAGAGCUCAAAGAGGAAGAAUGGAAAUGGCACCUUGCCUUUCUGACAGAUGUAACAGAGCUACUCAACAAUUUCAAUGUGCAACUUCAAGGAAAGGGGAAGCGAAUGCAUUUGAAGUAAAAUUGGACCUCCUAAUUAAACAAGUGAAGGAGGAAAACUUCAGACAUCUCCCUACUACUCAAAAGCUGUUGGCUAAAAAACCAACAGUUGCAUUCCCAAACAAAAAAUGUGUGGUUUCACGGGAAAUGUUGCAAAGGGAAUUUCAAAUGAUUUUUAAAGAGCUUCAUGUACAUGAACAGCUUUUCCAGAACCCAUUUUCUACUCACAUUGAAAUUGUUGAUCCAAUUUACCAAAUGGAACUGGCUGAACUACAGAAUUGUGACUAUGAAAGACGCAAUCAAGUCAAGUAACCUUACUAAUUUCUAUGCAUCUCUCCCCUCUGAGACGUAUCUUAAUCUCAGGAACCAUGUGCUCAAAAUGGUAACCAUCUUUGGCAGCACCCAUGUCUAUGAACAGACUUUUUCCUGAAUUAAACAUCUGAAAUCUCCAACCAGAUCCAGACUAACUGAUGAACACUUGCAUCACUUGUUAAAACUGGCAGUGACAAAUAUGGAACUGGACAUUGACUAUCUCAUCAGCCAAAAGGAGGCCCAAACUUCCCAUUCAAAUACUAAUAAGUUUAUGUUGGUUAAAAUAGUUCUUCAUUUUAAAUAUAUUACUAUUACAUUUUUUUUGCACAACAAAUAAGAUAUGUGCAGUGUGCAUAGGAAUUUGUUUGUGUUUUUUUCAAACUAUAGUCCACCCCACCCCUAUCCCCCCAGUCUGAGGGACUGAAUUGGCCCCGUUUAAAAAGUUUGAGGACCUCUGUUCUAAAGCCUGCAUCCUGGGAGUGUUGGACACGUUACCUGGUUGCACUGUUAAUUUUUAUUAAUGAUGAUCCUCAGUUGCCUAUAUGUAUAAUUUGUAAUGGUUUUAAUUGUUAUGAUAUUGUUUGCUAUCCAGAGUCAAUUGGAUUGAGAUGGGCAGCUAUAUUUGAGUAUUGAAUAAAUAAAUAAAUA